CGGUGAAUUGCUGUGUAAAAGUUGGAUGUUUCUUCAUUUCUUAUCGAUUGAGGACGCAAGCUUCGAUUCUUAGAUGCUCGAGUUUGUUAGGUGCUGUCAGCUAACCUGGACAGAAUGAGAAAAGGAGACAAUGAAUGGAAUCCUUACUUGCAUGGGAAUUUGAUUGUAAAUAUUUGAGGAUCCAGCAUAUCUGCAAAUGUUCCUUUCUCAAUUGAACGCUCCACAUGAUGAGUCAGCCCCAUGGGAGGUUUCCCAAAUGUUCCAGCUGCAGAUGUCAUAUGAUACUGGGUGACACUGUCUGCCACAGAUGGGGGUACCAGGCGGGCUAGGCCGACAUC